rnacentral:rRNA from 1 species
GAUGAACGCUGGCGGCGUGCUUAACGCAUGCAAGUCGAACGAUGAAGCCCAGCUUGCUGGGUGGAUUAGUGGCGAACGGGUGAGUAACACGUGAGUAACCUGCCCUUGACUCUGGGAUAAGCCUGGGAAACUGGGUCUAAUACUGGAUAUGACUUCUCAUCGCAUGGUGGGGGGUGGAAAGAUUUAUUGGUCUUGGAUGGACUCGCGGCCUAUCAGCUUGUUGGUGAGGUAAUGGCUCACCAAGGCGACGACGGGUAGCCAGCCUGAGAGGGUGACCGGCCACACUGGGACUGAGACACGGCCCAGACUCCUACGGGAGGCAGCAGUGGGGAAUAUUGCACAAUGGGCGCAAGCCUGAUGCAGCGACGCCGCGUGAGGGAUGACGGCCUUCGGGUUGUAAACCUCUUUCAGUAGGGAAGAAGCGAGAGUGACGGUACCUGCAGAAGAAGCGCCGGCUAACUACGUG